GUCCCAUCCUCCCAGCCACGCCGCCACUCUACCAAAUCCCCUCGGGAUCCUCUUCUCCUCGUUUUCCUCCACCCACCAACAGGAGCCCGAGCCCCUUCUCCCCUUCUCCCCGUGCUCCUCCACCUCGCCUCGUCUCCGGCGAACAGCAAUUGCAGCCCCGCCACCGGCUGACCGAACCAGCAUCCCGCGCCAAGCCACCUGUCCCAGGAACGCGAGCUGCCUCCCGUGCUCGUCCUCCUGUGGAUCCCCUCGAUCCCUGCCUGCCGCGUCUGCCUCCCGCUCCAUCCUCGUCCACCAGCAGCUCCGAACGCCGCAGAUGAGUACAACGCCACCCCUUCCCUUCCUUCUACCUCUGCCUUCCUCCAGCUCUCUCUCCCCCUCAUUUUUCUCUCUCUUUUGUCUCUGUUCCGUAGGAGUUCUCAUCCAUGGCGCCAGGAGAAGAGCGCCCCGACCGCCUCGUAACCAGCUCGCCGGAGCAGAGCUCCUCCUCUGCCACCCUUGCCCGUUCCCAGCCGAAUCCUGUCAGCAGGGCCCCGUCCCCACCUCCGGUGCCCCAAGUUCCGCCGCCGGCGAUAGCAACAGCAGCCUCGCCGUCGCCCUCCUCCUCUCCUCCCGUGCGCGCGUCCCCUCAACCUCGUCGCCCCUGCUCGUCUUCAUCUCGCGCACCGCGUUGCUCCCCUUUCCCAAACCUCUCCUUCGCCCCACACCCCGCCUCAACUCCGGCCGUAUCGGCUCGGUUCCCCGCCUCCCUGCCCGACGCCAUGGAGGGCCGCCGCCCCGCUGCUCCGAGAUCCAAGUCUCGUCGAGCUGUAGCCCGAGCUCGCGCCUGUCCUCGCCGGAGUCCUUCUCCUCGCCGCUGCCUUCGCCAAGUCACUCGCCGGAGCGCUCGCCCCCAAGUUUUGCGCCUCUGCUUCCCCUGCAUCGCCCCUGUCUUCUGCCUCUGUUCGAGAGGAGGCGACUGCAGCGCUCGGCCGUGCGUUGACUGCGCCCGCCUCGCGCGUGGGUCACCUGCUGGACUCCAGAUCUGGCCCAGCCAGCACCCUCCACACCGAGUUGGGCCUUGGCCCAUCUUCGGUUUCGUUCCGGAGUUGUGAGGAUUCGUUCGACUACGUCUGUUUGUCUUCUUCAUGGACUCGUUCUUCUUCCUUGCGGGAUCUCAGGCAAGAUGACCAUACCCUCGAAAUCACUUCUAUCUUUGCUUGCUAGUUGUUCGCUCUAUUGCUAUGCCGCGCUACCUACCACUUGCUGAUCAAGCCUCCGAAAUUGCCAUGAACCUCUAACCUUUGUCACCCUUCCUAGCAAACCGUUGUUUGGCUAUGUUACCGCUUUUGCUCAGCCCCUCGUAUAGCGUUGCUAGUUGCAGGUGAAGAUGAAGAUUGCUCCAUGUUGGAUUAUGUUUAUGUUGGGAUAUCACAAUAUCUCUUAUUUAAUUAAUGCAUCUAUAUACUUGGUAAAGGGUGGAAGGCUCGGCCUUAUGCCUGGUGUUUUGUUCCACUCUUGCCGCCCUAGUUUCCGUCAUACCGGUGUUAUGUUCCUUGAUUUUGCGUUCCUUACGCGGUCGGGUGAUUUAUGGGACCCCCUUGACAGUUCGCCUUGAAUAAAACUCCUCCAGCAAGGCCCAACUUUGGUUUUACCAUUCGCCUACCUAAGCCUUUUUCCCUUGGGUUCUGCAGACUCAAGGGUCAUCUUUAUUUACCCCCCCGGGCCAGUUCUCCUUCGAGUGCUGGUCCAAACCGAGCGAUGUCCGGUGCCCCCUGGGCAACCAGGGUCUAUGCCAACCCGACGUCUGGCUCAUCCGGUGUGCCCUGAGAACGAGAUAUGUGCAGCUCCUAUCGGGCUUUGUCGGCACAUUUGGGCGGCUUUGCUGGUCUUGUUUUACCAUUGUCGAAAUGUCUUGUAACCGGGAUUCCGAGACUGAUCGGGUCUUCCCGGGAGAAGGAAUAUCCUUCGUUGACCGUGAGAGCUUAUAAUGGGCUAAGUUGGGACACCCCUGCAGGGUAUUAUCUUUCGAAAGCCGUGCCCGUGGUUAUGAGGCAGAUGGGAAUUUGUUAAUGUCCGGUUGUAGAGAACUUGACACUUGACCUUAUUUAAAACGCAUCAACCGCGUGUGUAGCCGUGAUGGUCUUUUCUCGGCGAAGUCCGGGAAGUGAACACGGAUUCUGGGUUAUGUUUGACGUAAGUAGGAGUUCAGGAUCACUUCUUGAUCAUUGCUAGUUCACGACCGUUCCGUUGCUUCUCUUCUCGCUCUCAUUUGCGUAUGUUAGCCACCAUAUAUGCUAGUGCUUGCUGCAGCUCCACCUUAUUACACCAUCCUUUCCUAUAAGCUUAAAUAGUCUUGAUCUCGCGGGUGUGAGAUUGCUGAGUCCUCGCGACUCACAGAUACUUCCAAACAGUUGCAGGUGCCGACGAUGCCAGUGCAGAUGACGCAACUGAGCUCAAGUGGGAGCUCGAUGAAGAUCUUGUCCGUUGUGUUGUUUUUUUUAUUGAUCAGUAGUGGUGCCCAGUUGGGACGAUCAGGGAUCUAGCAGUUGGGUUGUCUUCUUUUAUUUUGGUUCCGUAGUCAGACCUAUGUGUGUAUCUCUGAUUGAUGUAUGAUUUAUUCAUGUAUUGUGUGAAGUGGCGAUUGUAAGCCAACUCUUUAUCCCAUUCUUGUUCAUUACAUGGGAUUGUGUGAAGAUGACCCUUCUUGCGACAAAACCACAAUGCGGUUAUGCCUCUAAGUCGUGCCUCGACAUGUGGGAGAUAUAGCCGCAUCGUGGGCGUUACAUGGAUAUACACAUAUUUUAGUUGUUGUUGAUUACGUUACUAAGUGGAUAGAAGCUAUUCCAACUAGUAGUGUUGAUCAUAACACUUCUAUUAAAAUGCUUAAAGAAGUUAUUUUCCCGAGGUUUGGAGUCCCUAGAUAUUUAAUGACUGAUGGUGGUUCACAUUUUAUUCAUGGUGCUUUUCGUAAAAUGCUUGCUAAAUGAUGUUAAUCAUAGAAUUGCAUCUCCUUAUCACCCAGAGUCUAGUGGUCAAGUAGAAUUGAGCAACAGAGAGCUCAAGUUAAUUUUGCAAAAGACUGUUAAUAGAUCUAGAAAGAAUUGGUCCAAGAAACUUGAUGAUGCAUUAUGGGCCUAUAGAACUGCAUAUAAAAAUCCUAUGGGUAUGUCUCCGUAUAAAAUGGUUUAUGGAAAAGCACGUCACUUACCUCUCGAAAUAGAACAUAAGGCAUAUUGGGCUAUUGAAGAACUCAAUUAUGAUUUCAAACUUGCCGGUGAGAAGAGGUUAUUUGACAUUAGCUCACUUGAUGAAUGGAGAACCCAAGCUUAUGAGAAUGCCAAAUUGUUUAAAGAAAAAGUUAAAAGAUGGCAUGACAAAAGGAUACAAAAGCGUGAGUUUAAUGUAGGUGACUAUGUAUUGCUAUACAACUCUCGUUUAAGAUUUUUUGCAGGAAAACUUCUUUCUAAAUGGGAAGGCCCUUACGUUAUCGAGGAGGUCUAUCGUUCCGGUGCCAUAAAAAUCAACAACUUCGAAGGCACACAUCCGAAGGUGGUGAACGGUCAAAGAAUCAAACAUUAUAUCUCAGGUAAUCCCACAAAUGUUGAAACCAAUGUUAUUGAAACCGUAACCCCGGAGGAAUACAUAAGGGACACUUUCCGGAACGUUUCAGACUCCGAAAAGGAAUAGGUAUGUGGUACGGCAUGUAAACCGACUCCAAAACAGUUUUUAUGGCAAUAUUUCUCCGUUUGGAAUAUUUAGAAAAAUAGAAAAAUAAGAAGCAGUCCAGGAAGGACACGAGGGCUCCACGAGGGUGGAGGGCGCGCCCCCCUGCCUCGUGGGCACCUCGUGCGCCCUCCGGACUCCGUUUUCUUGCACGGUACAUAUUUUGGUCGGUAAAAAUUCAUUAUAUAAUCUCCUGGAGGUUUUGACUCCUGUAUCACGCAAAUAUUCUCUGUUCUUGUUUCGAGCUAUUGCCGCUGCAGAUUAGAGCAAGAUGUCUUCUCAAGAGUCAGUCGGGGAGAGCCGGGUGUCUCAUCCGGCAUCGAGACCAAGGACAAACAGCGAUGCUGACCACUUUGGGCCAGCAACGGAGGAAGAGAUGGAGGCUGAUUUGAUGAGGAUAGAUGCCAUGGAGGAGGAUCAAGAAGUCACUUCUCGCUUCCGAGCUGGAUUCACGAUGGGGGAACUACAGAGCUUAGCUAUUCCAAACUCGGUUAUCCCUUCCAAUGUUAGAUUUCUUUCUUAUGAAAAUAUCAAGAAGAGUGUUACUUGUUCUCCCGCAGCUAUGCAACACCCUUGGGUGCAAGGAGCUUUAGCCGUUACAGGAAAGCUUCGUAAGGAAAUAAUGGACCUCAAGCAGCAAGUCAAUAAGCUCGAGGAGGAGAAUCGUAUCGUGAGGGGCAUCAUCGCCAAGAAUAUUACACCAUCACCGAAAAAGGAGACAUAAUCACAUGGGUAUGGACACUCCCCUUGGGAACUGCCAAGCUUGGGGGAGGUGCCCCGGUUUACAUAAGGAGUGAGAAUGCCG
rnacentral:rRNA from 1 species